rnacentral:rRNA from 1 species
AGAGUUUGAUCCUGGCUCAGGAUGAACGCUGCGUGUGUGCCUAAUACAUGCAUGUUGAAGGCUCAGGGAAUUGCUUAGCACUUUAAGACUUAGUAGCGAAUGGGUGAGUAACACGUACUUAACCUACCCCCAAGUUUGGGAUAACGUUUGGAAACGAACGCUAAUACCGAAUACGUAUUUUUAUCGCAUGAUAGAAAUAUAAAAGGAGCUUCGGCUUCGCUAGGGGAUGGGAGUGCGCUACAUUAGUUAGUUGGUAGGGUAAUGGCCUACCAAGACUAUGAUGUAUAGCGGGGCCGAGAGGCUGAUCCGCCACACUGGGACUGAGAUACGGCCCAGACUCCUACGGGAGGCAGCAGUAGGGAAUUUUCCACAAUGAACGAAAGUUUGAUGGAGCGACACAGCGUGCAGGAUGAAGGUCUUCGGAUCGUAAACUGCUGUUAUAAGGGAAGAAAAACUUUAGUAGGUAAUGACUAGAACUUGACGGUACCUUAUCAGAAAGCGACGGCUAACUAUGUGCCAGCAGCCGCGGUAAU